rnacentral:rRNA from 1 species
AGUAACGCGUGAGGAACCUGCCUCAAAGAGGGGGACAACAGUUGGAAACGACUGCUAAUACCGCAUAAGCCCACAGCUCGGCAUCGAGCAGAGGGAAAAGGAGUGAUCCGCUUUGAGAUGACCUCGCGUCCGAUUAGCUAGUUGGUGAGGUAAUGGCCCACCAAGGCGACGAUCGGUAGCCGGACUGAGAGGUUGAACGGCCACAUUGGGACUGAGACACGGCCCAG